rnacentral:rRNA from 1 species
UUACGGGAGGCAGCAGCUAAGAAUCUUCCGCAAUGGGGGAAACCCUGACGGAGCGACGCCGCGUGGAUGAUGAAGGCCGUAAGGUUGUAAAAUCCUUUUGUUGGCGAAGAAUAAGCCCAGGAGUGGAACGCCUGGGUGAUGACGUUAGCCGACGAAUAAGCCCCGGCCAAUUACGUGCCAGCAGCCGCGGUAAUACGUAUGGGGCAAGCGUUGUUCGGAGUUAUUGGGCGUAAAGGGCGUGUAGGCGGCUCAUCAAGUCUGGUGUGAAAUCUUCAGGCUUAACCUGAGAUAUGCGCUGGAAACUGGUGGGCUUGAGUUCUUGAGGGGAAGCUGGAAUUCCAGGUGUAGGGGUGAAAUCUGUAGAUAUCUGGAAGAACACCGGUGGCGAAGGCGAGCUUCUAUCAAAGGACUGACGCUGAGGCGCGAAAGCGUGGGGAGCAAACAGGAUUAGAUACCCGUGUAGUCCC